UAUAUCUAUUUUGUUAGAUCAUGUUACAACAUGGGCCCAAAACUGAGAUAGACCCAAAAAUCUAAGGAAAUGCCUACCGUUGAAACCUUUUUGAGGUCUACUAAGAUGUUUAUAUGCCAUCCAUGCCAUUCUUACUAGAUGGAUUAAAAAAAGGACUUGAAUAUGGGCUCACAAAUGUUUCAAUGGUGGAUGUUCAAUUCUCAUUGUUUCCCAUCGUGUACUUACUUGUGUUUUAGAUCUGCCUCAUUUUUUAACCCAUAUGUGACAUGAUCUGGCAAAACGGAUGGAUGGGAUGGAUUUCUCACAAAUAUAACGGUGGGCCUUAGCUAGCUUUAUAUCUUAGGCAAUCCACACCCAUCCAAAUUGACAGCCCACUAGAAAUUAAAAUUAAUCCAACAAUCUUAGCCUUCUGAUUACUCUCAUUGAAUUUGGGAAGCUGACCUUUUACUUUUCAAACAUGAAUUUGAUGAUUCCAUUCAGGUUAGGAACAUUUUACAGUGCAAUUUUCGGUUUAUGCUCCAUCAAAAGCGGGCCAUGCAAUCGGAUGGUUUGGAUUGACAUAAAUGUAUGCCAUGUGUACGGUAGAUGAUGCACCACGACUUAAAAAUAGCAGUAAACUAUCACCAUAUUAUUCAGAUUAAUUAGGAACGGUACUAGAAGAAUAUCUCUUUAACAGCAACAGCUCCGUCACUCUGUCUCAAUUCUUCCCAUCACAUCCCUUGUCCUAUUCAAACAAGAGGUUUUAUAAGCCCAUACGCGGCACAGCCCUGCCCAUCUACACGUACCAAUAUGUCACACGUGUUCAGGAUCCCACCUCUCUAUUAGUUGGUCCACACAUUUUAUAUAUCCAUACAUAAAAACCAGUCCCUUUCACUUCCAGCUCUGGAACAGUGCAAAAUAAACAACCGUUAGGACAUCUCUUUAUAGCCGUCCACUUAUUUUGUACACCUUUGAGAACCUGAGAAGUUGAAGGGCUUGAAUUUUAUAAGGACUAAAGAUAUAAUUAGUGUGGCCCACCUGAUGGAAAGUUUGGAUAUCUCACACAUGUGACGUACCAUCACUUUUGAUUGCAUGUAGAUGGGAAGGGCUCCAGACGCGUGUGUACAUAGCAAACCAUUUCGAAAAACACCCCAACCUUCUUUAAAUUCCCAUUUCAUCGUCUCAUCUCUCACUUCUCGUCUAAAAGCAUCCAAACACCUCCAACUUUAGAGGUUUUAUGGCUUACUCAAGAAAGAGAAACUACCCAAAUGGGCUUACUACACUGGUUAUUCUCAUAUUUUUCUUGACAUUUUUACCCUUCAUAUCAGUUGGAUUGGUUUUCUCAAGCACUGGUGAGAACUUCAAGCAAAGGAAGCAAGUGAUAGGUUCAAGGCCUCCUUUGUGUACAAACAAGUGCAUGAGUUGCAAGCCUUGCAUGGCUACUUUGGUAGUUCCUCCACAUCAAAGGAGUCGUGCCGCAUCAAUAUCACAAGAACAAGAUGAAAGCUAUUAUCCCCUCUCAUGGAAAUGUAAAUGUGGGAAUAAAGUCUUCCAACCCUGAUAUUUAUAUCCUUUUACUUGUUAGAGACACUAAUAUGAGAAAUGUCCAAGCCUGCCCAUGUGUAGUUAAAGCUUUAAGGCUCUACUUGUUUAGGAAGAGUGUCAUUAUUACAAUUUUAUCACCGCCAAAUCAAACACAAGUUCAAGAAUUUGUAAUCAUUGUACUUUUUCAUAACUCUAUUGUGAAAAUCUCGAAUUAGAUAAUGACAUUAGUGUAUCACUAUGAUAAUU